GUUUCUGUAGUUGAGNACAACAGUGGUUUUUCAGACCACAGGCCUUGGUGUCGAACCGAGCAGAAACU
rnacentral:tRNA from 1 species